rnacentral:sRNA from 3 species
GAACAAAAAAAGACCGAAUACGAUUCCUGUAUCCGGUCCAGGGAAAUGGCUCUUGGUGAGCCGUGCGCUAAAAGUUGGCAUUACGCAGGCGUCUUCGCCUUACAGCUAAACUGUAGAAGAGGGGCGUAGAUUUUCCAGCCA